AAGGUGGCCUAUGCCACUGCCAUGGACUGGUUCAUGGCAGUGUGCUAUGCCUUU
rfam:Poecilia formosa, whole genome shotgun sequence.